rnacentral:rRNA from 1 species
GAUGAACGCUAGCGGGAGGCCUAACACAUGCAAGCCGAGCGGUAGAGUCUCUUCGGGGACUUGAGAGCGGCGUACGGGUGCGUAACACGUGUGCAACCUGCCUCUAUCUGGGGGAUAGCCUUCCGAAAGGAAGAUUAAUACCCCAUAAUAUAAUGAUUGGCAUCAAUUAUUAUUGAAAACUCCGGUGGAUAGAGAUGGGCACGCGCAAGAUUAGAUAGUUGGUGGGGUAACGGCCCACCAAGUCGAUGAUCUUUAGGGGUCCUGAGAGGGAGAUCCCCCACACUGGUACUGAGACACGGACCAGACUCCUACGGGAGGCAGCAGUGAGGAAUAUUGGACAAUGGGUGCAAGCCUGAUCCAGCCAUCCCGCGUGAAGGACGACGGCCCUAUGGGUUGUAAACUUCUUUUGUACAGGGAUAAACCUCCCCUCGUGAGGGGAGCUGAAGGUACUGUACGAAUAAGCACCGGCUAACUCCGUG